AGAUUGAACGCUGGCGGCAUGCCUAACACAUGCAAGUCGAGCGGUAACAGGUCUUCGGAUGCUGACGAGUGGCGGACGGGUGAGUAAUGCGUAGGAAUCUGUCUUUUAGUGGGGGACAACCCAGGGAAACUUGGGCUAAUACCGCAUAAGCUCUGAGGAGGAAAGCGGGGGACCGAAAGGCCUCGCGCUGAAGGAGCGGCCGAUGUCCGAUUAGCUAGUUGGUGAGGUAAAGGCUUACCAAGGCGACGAUCGGUAGCUGGUCUGAGAGGAUGAUCAGCCACACUGGGACUGAGACACGGCCCAGACUCCUACGGGAGGCAGC
rnacentral:rRNA from 1 species